UACAGAGGGGGCAAGCGUUGUUCGGAAUUACUGGGCGUAAAGGGCGCGUAGGCGGCCUUCUAAGUCGAACGUGAAAUCCCUGGGCUCAACCCAGGAACUGCGUCCGAGACUGAAAGGCUUGAAUCCGGGAGAGGGAUGCGGAAUUCCAGGUGUAGCGGUGAAAUGCGUAGAUAUCUGGAGGAACACCGGUGGCGAAGGCGGCAUCCUGGACCGAUACUGACGCUGAGGAGCGAAAGCCAGGGGAGCAAACGGG
rnacentral:rRNA from 1 species